rnacentral:tRNA from 1 species
UCGAAAUUGUAGUUUAAUUAAAAUAUUAGCAUUGGAAGCUAGAGAACAGGUUUUAGCCUGCAUUUCGAA